ACAACGGCCCUUUUCAGGGCCAUAAUUGUUUAAUUAAUUUAUUUA
rfam:Aedes aegypti strain Liverpool supercont1.86 genomic scaffold, whole genome shotgun sequence.